rnacentral:rRNA from 1 species
AUUCCCUUUGACUAGGGAUCCAAAGCGGGUGCGAGACCCGUACGUAUUGCCGGUUUGUCGUACGCGUUUGCCUCUUGGAGUCGGGUUGUUUGAGAUCGCAGCCCUAAGUAGGUGGUAUACUUCAUCUAAAGCUAAAUACGACUACGAAUCCGAUAGCAAACAAGUACCGUGAGGGAAAGUUGCAAAGUACUUUGAAGAGAGAGUUCAAGAGGACGUGAAACCGAUAGGAUGGAAGCAGAUGAAGUUGACGAACGAGUGUCGUAUUCAGGGUUGCAUCUUGUGUGCGGUCUGUUCUUGCGACCGAUGUGGGCUGGCGGCGUUGGUCAAUGCACUGUGUCAAGUUUCGAUGGAGACCCUGCGGAGGGAUAAUCGGUCGUUGCACGAUGCGUGGUAUGGCUAACGUUUCGCCGGUCUUGAAGUCAGCGCCUCAUCUGACCCGUCUUGAAACACGGACCAAGGAGUGUAGCGUUUGCGCAAGUCUUAGAGUGUGUCAAAACUUUGAGGCGUAACGAAAGUAAAUGUAGUUUAAUCUACUGACUUGGGAUACGUUGUGUCGUGUGCACGGCGUUGGACCAUGGUUUUAUCGCGAUCGCUUGCGAUGCGGUGAAAAUAGAGCGUAAACGGUGCGA